rnacentral:tRNA from 1 species
GUUCUUAUAGUUUAAUUAAAAUAUAAUACUGAAAAUAUUAAGAUAUUUAUUUAAGAUC